GCAAACGCCUCCGAGGAGCCAAAUCCGGCGGCUUCCAGCAGAAAACUUUGGGAAACGAUUUGUUAGGAAGGGCACGCCGCGGGAGCUGCAGUGGUGCCAGCUGGAAGCCUCAAAUCCUCAGAAGUCAGGACCAGUAUUUUUGGCUGAUGUGGCAGCAGACAAGACCCGUGACACCAUCGCAUGUCUCUUCUGAAGGUGAGAGCUGACGAGGGCUGGGCAAAUGCCAGUGCUGGAAACCAAGGCUGGCUCAGCCCCAGCUGAUCCACGUCUCCCAGAUGGCCACGGAUGACCAUGUCUGCCCAUCAUCUGGCAUCUCUGCAGAAUGGAAGACCAGUGCUGCCAGAAUCCCAGGCAGAGGAGCACCACGUAGGAGCUACGUGAAUUAGGUGACAGAUUAUUUGCUCAGGUAUCACUUCCUUUGCCAAGAGACAUUUUACACCCAGGCACACUGAGAACAGCAGAGCAGCAGGACCAGAGAAGGACAAGGGAAAUGGAACAUCUGCUUUCCUGUAUUGCACCUACUGCACCUAGUGGUCCUAGAGAGACUGGGAAAGAUUGGAUCUUUUUCUCCCUAAAUGGAAGGGGAGCAAUGUUUCUAGCAAAAGCCAAAAAUAGAUAUUCACCUCUAAAAAUAAAUUUU